CAUUCACCGUAGCCGCCGGCGUCGUCUCAUUGGCUCACUAGGUCCCGCUUUCUUCGUUUCGCAUUCAGUCUCAUACUCUCAUCUCAUCUUGGAGAUCACGACGAGAGAUCUGCAUACGAACGUGUAUCAUCCCUGGUGACAAGAUCAGGGAGCCGCGAGAUGGUCCCUCUUCGGAUAAGAUCAGGGAGCGGCGAGAUGCUGAAAUGUGCAGAUUGAUCCCAUCAUCUCGUUUUGGAGACGGCGUUUGUCUCAUCUGAUGGAUCGCGCCUGACUUGCUUCUGGAGACGGGCGUUUCUCUCAUCUUAUGGAUCGAUCGAUAUCGCACCUGACUUAAAUUUUGUUUAUUUCAAGCUAGGUUCACAAUUAUAAUAAAAAUAGUUAAAUACA